GCAUUAGUAGCUCAGUGACCAGAGCGCCGGUCUUGUAAACCGGAGGCCGGAGGCUCAAUUCCUCCCUUUUGCU
rnacentral:tRNA from 1 species